GACGAACGCUGGCGGCGUGCUUAACACAUGCAAGUCGAACGGAAAGGCCCUGCUUUUGUGGGGUGCUCGAGUGGCGAACGGGUGAGUAACACGUGAGUAACCUGCCCUUGACUUUGGGAUAACUUCAGGAAACUGGGGCUAAUACCGGAUAGGAGCUCCUGCUGCAUGGUGGGGGUUGGAAAGUUUCGGCGGUUGGGGAUGGACUCGCGGCUUAUCAGCUUGUUGGUGGGGUAGUGGCUUACCAAUGCUUUGACGGGUAGCCGGCCUGAGAGGGUGACCGGCCACAUUGGGACUGAGGUACGGCGCAGACGGCUACGGGAGGCAGCAGUGGGGAAUAUUGCACAAUGGGCGGAAGCCUGAUGCAGCAACGCCGCGUGCGGGAUGACGGCCUUCGGGUUGUAAACCGCUUUCGCCUGUGACGAAGCGUGAGUGACGGUAAUGGGUAAAGAAGCACCGGCUAACUACGUG
rnacentral:rRNA from 1 species